CUGGGAUUUUGUCUUUUAAGAGCAGCCUGGUCCUGUCUGCUGCAGAGCCUUUUGUCUCGCUAACCUGGAUCCUGACGGGCGCGACAAAAGGUUCUGCGGCUGCGCUGGGGAGACCUCGGCCCUGAGCACUGGCACAGUGCCUGAGGAGGCCUUUACCAGGGCUCUGGGGUUUGGGGGGGUUCCUUCUGACGUGUUUUCUAAGUUCCUUCUGUCCUGAACAAUGAAUUGGUCGGGACAAGCUCAGAAGACAGCUAGGCUCUACAUCCAUUCAAGGCAGGAAAAUAAACUUGCUGCACAGGGUGAGGACAGACCACUGGGAAAGAGAGCCUCUCUCUGGCUGGUGUCAGGUCGAGGCCUAUCAGAAACCUGCUCAAGUUCUCGCGAGAAGACUUGAAGCGAGCGCUCUGAUUGGCCCCAGGCGUGGGGCUUUGGGAACCGUUUUGCCACCGUUCCUGAAGUUUCUGUUGAACCGUCCCACCCACUUUUCCCGCGGCUUCGUCGCACCUUAAUCUCUUGCCUCAGACUCGCUCUGGGUCUGUGGCUUCUGGGAGCCCGCUGAGGGGUCUGGGCGGCGCUCUCACCUGUCCAGCACAGGUUCGUCCUGCCCAGUGCUCACAGCCCCAAACCUGAGCCCGUUCAGCAGGCUCCUCCGCUUCCACCCGAUGGACGGAGCUCUUCGCUGCUUCCGGUUCUCCCGGCACCGUUAGUAGACAUCAGAAGAGAGAAGACUACAAGUGUAGGUUGGGCCGCUUGUAAAGGCCAGGCAGCCAAGGCAAAAUGACAUCCUCCCGGGCAAGGUCGUCACUCUGAGGAGAGUCAUUGUCCCCACCUCCGUCGCACGUUGGAAGCAGAGGCAGCCCAGAGUCCGAGCCGGGGGUUUCUGAGUCGCCUCAAGCUCUGCCCCACGAGGACAGGAAACCUUUGCCAGGACCUCACCUUACAGGCAAAACCUGGUAUCUAACUCCAGAAGGAGAGGUGAACAACCCAGAACUCCGUAACGUUAAAGUUGAGAAGCCACUUUUAGACAUAGGCUACGUAACAUUUUGGCAUAGCCAGCCUGGAGGAAAGCUCAGGUACAAGAGACAAAGGACUAGGACUAGCAGGAACCACCCAACCAGUCUGUAAAGCUUGCCCACUCUGUGCCUACAAUAACUCUGGCAAGUCCAAACUGCCUCCUUUAUUAGAACCUGUACAGAGAAGAGGGACAUACCCUGGAGAGGCCUGGCAAUUAGACUUUACCCAUAUACCACCAUGUGGAGGAUGUAAACAGAUGUUAGUCCUAAUUGACACAUUUAUAGGCUGGAUCGAAUCCUAACCUACCUGUUCAGAAAAGGCUAUAAAGGUAGUCAAGGUGCUUCUUUAAAAACUCAUCUCAAGAUUUGAACUAUCCCAGUCCCUGCAGAGACACAAUGGACUUUAGGAAUAAAGUACCACCUCCAUUACUUCUGCUGGCCUCGAUGUUCUGGAAAGGUAGAGAGAGCCGCCAGACCCUAAUGCAAGCUCUGGCAAAACUCUGCCAAGAGACAUCUGAGUCUUGGCUCCAAGUGCUGCCAAUAACACUCAUGAGGGUUCAUAACAUGCCAAAAAGUGGACUAAGUUUGAGCCCAUUUGAAAUGUUAUAUAGGAGGCCAUUUUUAUCCUCUGAUAUGAUAGUAAACCCAGAGACUAUGAUUCUUACAAUAUCUCAUUAAUCUGGGAGACAUACAGCAGGCUAUGCAAAUAUUUGGGAACAAAGUUCUACCAGCUCCUGGACUAGGAGGACCACUCACUGUCCAUCCUGGAGACCAAGUGGUUGUAAAAACUUGGAGGGAACACUUGCUGACCCAUUAAACCCAAAAUGGAAAGACACCCCCCCCCCCCGGCCCAGUGACCUUUGGUGGCAGAGAUAUAAUUAGAUUCAUCUUUCUGAAAUAAAGCUAGUCCCUUCUGAACUGUCUGAAGAACAAGAUCACCCAAAGGGAAGAAGCUACUCCUGUGAGGAUUCUGGAAGACUUGAGAUUUCUCUUCAAAAAGCAAGACUGCUCCUCAUAUUUGGGCUAAUACUGAAGUUCUCAUUAUUCCCUGACAGGUUUUCCUUUCUUCAACCCAGCCAGUGAGCCACAGCAUCCCAAGGUAGUUGGAGAGCACAUAAUCCCCAGUAGGUAGGGUCUACAACAGCCCCUUCCAGUUUGAAGAAGUUAUAAAAGACAGAGACCUCCAGUCCCUCAGCACCCCAUAAAGAGUUAUGGGGAUUUGUGUCUCUCAAGGGGAAAUGAGAUAGGAGAGUAGGGCUGGGGAAGUAGGUGUGACCUGUUAAUUACAAGAUCCUGGACAUAUGUGCAGAACAGUUCCCAAAGCCCUGCAUGUGGACUUCUCUCAAGAACUCAAGCAGGUUUUCAAUAGGAUGGCCUAGACCUGACAUUGCCUCUCAGGACCUGGAUGUAGAAGUUCUCGCUGGUUUCCUUGAGAUUUAGACAGCAUAAAAGGACACAUUAAUGCCUUGAAGGUUUUGUUAUCAUAAUUUUCUAUGAUAGCCCAUGCUGUUUUUCCCAGAUACAGUGUGUACUUUUUUGUUUUUAUCUUCUUUUUUAUCUUGUUUAGCUGGUUUCUUCCAUAUCUCCUCACCCCCCACUUUUCACAUAAACUUUUGGCAGUGUUUUUGGCUUGUCUUAUCCAAUUCUUUGUUUGAGACAAGAAUCUGGAAUCUUAACUACAGGAGAGGCAAGCAACCCAGAACCCAGUAACAUUUAGAUGAUGAGCCACUUUUAGAAGCAAGCUACCUGAUAACAGCUUUAAAAUGUGAAUGCCUAGGAAUUAACCUAACCAAGAUGUCAUUUUUGUGGAUAGCCUAUACUGUAUGUAUUUGUUUUUCUCCCCUUGUGAGCCAGUCAUUUAACUGAGAUACUCCCUAAAGCUUCAUUAUGUAUAAUAAAGUCCUGAUGUUGCUUGCCAUGUUCUCUCACCUUGUGAAUCUGCUGUGGCUCCAGACCCUCACUCCUUUCCUUUCCAUAUGACAAAGGUUCUGCUUGUGAUGAUGCCCCUUUCUUUGCCUGACUUCUC
rnacentral:lncRNA from 1 species